UACGGAGGGUGCGAGCGUUGUCCGGAAUCAUUGGGCGUAAAGGGCGCGUAGGUGGCCCGGUCAGUCUUUGGUGAAAGCGCGGGGCUCAACCCUGCGUCGGCCAGGGAUACUGCCGCGGCUCGAGCACUGUAGAGGCAGGCGGAAUUCCGGGUGUAGCGGUGGAAUGCGUAGAGAUCCGGAAGAACACCGGUGGCGAAGGCGGCCAACUGGUCCGAUACUGACGCUGAGGCGCGAAAGCGUGGGGAGCAAACAGG
rnacentral:rRNA from 1 species